UAGCAUUUGACUUUUGUCCAAUUGAUAAGGACCUUUUACACCAUUAGGAAUCUGCUGAAAGGAGACAAAAACAUGAUUGUUCUGGUUGGUGUUUGUCAUCUUAGCCAAGUGAUCCACAACAUUAUUGGCCUCUCUUAGGCUUGAAUUAUCAUAUGUAGAAUCUUCUCUAUGGUGAGAUUGAGCUUGUAAUUGGGUUGUCUUUUUCCUUCAAUCAUCUGGAAGACUAUAAUUGAGUCGAUUUUCAAGAAAAAAUGGCUGAAAUUUCUUUUGACGCAUAAACCCAACCCCUUGAGGGCUGCCAAUGACUUUGCCUCAAAGCUGCCAUGGCUGCUCUUCCAGAUAGUGUGCAAAGGGUCGCGUAUGUUUUUCAUUUUCAACGCUCCAUUUAUAGGAAUUGCCAGGAAAUAGAUACACAUUUGACGAUUGGUUCUAGUUUCAGAAGAUUUUUACAAAAUGUGAUCCAAGGUAAUGUCAAGGUUGUGUUUGUUGAAACUUCUCUUGCCACCAUAUUUACAAUUUCAACUUUCAUUCCAUAUUUCCUAACACAAAUAAUAGGGCAGAUUGUAGAACCAAACCAUGUACCGUAUUUUUAGGCUUCUGAUUCCACCAUUCAUUAAUAGGGAAAGUGCACAAGCAAUACAUCUAAUAGAAAUUCUUAGGCUAUGCAAAUUUAGUGAUACAUCAAGCAUCUCUAGCAAACAAGUCGACCCUAAGUUCUGAGAGGCAACAAUAACAUUAGAGAUUAGUUAGUACUUUGUAUUGCAAAUAAAAGCUCACAUAGCCAAUUCAACAAACUCACUAUCCAAAGGCUCUUACCCAUAGCCUUCCUUGAUCACCAAUUCAAUCCAAUAAUCUCAAUAUACAAAGAAUCCAAAGUAAUAUAAUAAAAAUCUCACAACUACAAUCCAUAGCCAAUUCAACAAACUCACUACUCAAAGGCUCUUACCCAUUGCCUUCCUCGAUCACCAAUCCAAUCCAAUAAUCUCAAUAUACAAAGUAAUAUAAUAUGAAUUCAUCAACUUAGGACAACCCAUAUAUGAUUUUCUUUGUCAGCCCACUUGAGCGGCUCUGUUUUUGUUCUGACAACGCUUAUAAGGAGGCAGUACAUAAAUUUCAUGCAUUGAUGAUACUUUGAAGUUUGUUUUAAUCGCCUAAGUUGUUUGGCACCAUGUGGUGGAGACAAGAUUUGUCCUUUCCUGAUCCGGAGAAAAGGAACUUGCAAUAUCCGUCCUUCCAUGAUCCGGAGAAUCCAGAUCAUUUGGAAAAAAAUUAGUUUGAGGAUGAUUCGAUCAGCCUAUAGCUUCUGAUAACACAAACAACCAAAUGGUCCAGGCCAGCAACACAAAAAAGUAAGAAGAUGUACCUUGGGAGGCAACAACAUGCGUCCUUCCAUGAUCCGGAGAAGAAGCAGUCAUAAUGCCAUGAUCCGGAGAAUCUGGAUCAUUUGGAACAAAAACAGUUUGAGGAUGAUUCAAUCAGCCUAUAUUUUCUUAUAACACAAACAACUAAAUGGUCCAGGAAAGCAGCACACAGGAAAGUAAGAUGAUGUACCUUGGGAGGCAAUGACAGCAGUCAUAAUCUCACGAUACGGAGAAGCGGAAACAGCACCAUGAUCCGGAGAACUCAAAGAGGCAACAACAACACGAUCCAGAGUAUCUGGAGAUGCAGCAAUAGCAUGAUUCGGAGAAUCCGGAGAAGCAGCAAUAACAGUCUCCAAAUCCUUCCAGUUGUAAAGAUAUGCUUUUUCUAACUCCGUAGUAGUAGGAGUAAGAGUAAAUUGCACUACAUCCUAUACGAAAAUAAAUUGUUCAACAAGCAAAACCACAGUAAUAAACUUAUAAUAUGAAAGAUUUCACCAAAAAAAACUUAAUUAUUCACAUUGACUCUUUCCAUUACUAGUGACACCAUCUUAUAGGAUGGAAUAAUCGGUUUCUUCAUGAACCAUCGCUUCAAUCUAGGAAUUAGCAAGGGAAACUUUGUUGAUGAUGUCCAAAAGCUUCUUCUAGUUUAGGAAUUGCUUCAAAAGCCCAUACCUGUAUUCAAGCCCAAAUAGUAUUAAAUAACAUUUGUAUAAAUUAGAGAUCGAUACAAAUUAAGGAAUGACCAAUUAAAUUUCACCAGAAAAGCCCAAAGGAACCCUUGAAACACUAUUUUUGGCUUUGGAUUUUCAGACAUCUCUAAGAGAUUCUCUGGAAAACUUUGUGCAGAGAUACUUUGUUCAAGAAGAAGGGAGGUGGCAAUAAUGUCUAUAAUGUGCAGGCUGAUAAUUCAUCCUCUACGAGCUUAGGUUUGAGAGACAACACUGUGGAUCAACUAGUUCCCAAAUAUCUACCAUGAGCACUUCAGAUGACUGUUUAUCAACAUGAUCAAGUAAUGCAGAUGCUUGAUGGUAAUAUUUGUACUGCUCAUGUAAUGGCAAACAUGGCAGGACCUUUCCACUGGUGAACUGAAGGGGAUUGGUAAAGAAGAUGAUGGGUUGUACUGUCUGGUUCAUUCGCAGAAACCUUCUGUUCAUGACAAGGUUACGAGUUUUGCUGCACAUGAUGACAAAAAAGGAGAUUUUGCUGUGGCAUAAAAGACUUGCCCAUGCUUCAAUAGGAUCUAUGAAAGACUUGUUAGGCUAUAAUGUUGAUGCUUGUAAAAUGCUUUGAACAAUUGUGAAAUAUGUCCUCUAGCUAGACACACUAGACUACCUUUCACUAGUAGUAACACUAGGUCUUCUGAAGUGUUUGUUUUAUUGCAUUUGGAUGUAUGGGGUCCUUAUAAUAUUCCAACAUUUGAUGGAAAUAAAUAUUUUCUUACCAUUGUUGAUGAUUUUUCCAGAAUUGUAUGGAUUUUCUUAUUAAA